AUUGAACGCUGGCGGCAGGCUUAACACAUGCAAGUCGAGCGGAGAUGAGGUGCUUGCACCUUAUCUUAGCGGCGGACGGGUGAGUAAUGCUUAGGAAUCUGCCUAUUAGUGGGGGACAACAUUCCGAAAGGAAUGCUAAUACCGCAUACGUCCUACGAGAGAAAGCAGGGGAUCUUCGGACCUUGCGCUAAUAGAUGAGCCUAAGUCGGAUUAGCUAGUUGGUGGGGUAAAGGCCUACCAAGGCGACGAUCUGUAGCGGGUCUGAGAGGAUGAUCCGCCACACUGGGACUGAGACACGGCCCAGACUCCUACGGGAGGCAGCAGUGGGGAAUAUUGGACAAUGGGGGGAACCCUGAUCCAGCCAUGCCGCGUGUGUGAAGAAGGCCAUAUGGUUGUAAAGCACUUUAAGCGAGGAGGAGGCUACUGAGACUAAUACUCUUGGAUAGUGGACGUUACUCGCAGAAUAAGCACCGGCUAACUCUGUGCCAGCAGCCGCAGUAA
rnacentral:rRNA from 1 species